GUCGAGCGGUAACAGGGGGAGCUUGCUCCCCGCUGACGAGCGGCGGACGGGUGAGUAAUGCAUAGGAAACUGCCCAGUAGUGGGGGAUAGCCCGGGGAAACCCGGAUUAAUACCGCAUACGCCCUUCGGGGGAAAGCAGGGGAUCUUCGGACCUUGCGCUAUUGGAUGUGCCUAUGUCGGAUUAGCUAGUUGGUGGGGUAAGAGCCUACCAAGGCGACGAUCCGUAGCUGGUCUGAGAGGAUGAUCAGCCACAUCGGGACUGAGACACGGCCCGAACUCCUACGGGAGGCAGCAGUGGGGAAUAUUGGACAAUGGGGGCAACCCUGAUCCAGCCAUGCCGCGUGUGUGAAGAAGGCUUUCGGGUUGUAAAGCACUUUCAGUGAGGAGGAAAACCUUACGACUAAUACUCGUGAGGCUUGACGUUACUCACAGAAGAAGCACCGGCUAACUCCGUGCCAGCAGCCGCGGUAAUACGGAGGGUGCAAGCGUUAAUCGGAAUUACUGGGCGUAAAGCGCGCGUAGGUGGUUUGAUAAGCGAGAUGUGAAAGCCCCGGGCUCAACCUGGGAACGGCAUUUCGAACUGUCAGGCUAGAGUAUGGUAGAGGAGUGUGGAAUUUCCUGUGUAGCGGUGAAAUGCGUAGAUAUAGGAAGGAACACCAGUGGCGAA
rnacentral:rRNA from 1 species